AUUGAACGCUGGCGGCAUGCCUUACACAUGCAAGUCGAACGGCAGCACGGGUGCUUGCACCUGGUGGCGAGUGGCGAACGGGUGAGUAAUACAUCGGAACGUACCUUAUCGUGGGGGAUAACGCAGCGAAAGCUGUGCUAAUACCGCAUCCGCCCUGAGGGGGAAAGCGGGGGAUCGCAAGACCUCGCGCGAUUCGAGCGGCCGAUGCCUGAUUAGCUUGGUGGUGGGGUAAAAGCCCGCCAAGGCGACGAUCAGUAGCUGGUCUGAGAGGACGAUCAGCCACACUGGGACUGAGACACGGCCCAGACUCCUACGGGAGGCAGCAGUGGGGAAUUUUGGACAAUGGGGGCAACCCUGAUCCAGCAAUGCCGCGUGAGUGAAGAAGGCCUUCGGGUUGUAAAGCUCUUUUGUCAGGGAAGAAACACCGGCUCUAACACAGUCCGGGAACGACGGUACCUGAAGAAUAAGCACCGGCUAACUACGUGCCAGCCGCCGCAGUAA
rnacentral:rRNA from 1 species